rnacentral:rRNA from 1 species
AAUCAACGCGGCGGCGCGCUUAACACAUGCAAGUCGCACGAGAAAGGGAGCAAUCCUAAGUAAAGUGGCGCACGGGUGAGUAACACGUGGAUCAUCUACCUUUAGUGGGGAAUACCUCUGGGAAACCGGAGACAAUACCGCAUAAGCCCGCAAGGGGAAAGCAGCAAUGCGCUGAAAGAGGAGUCCGCGGCCGAUUAGCUAGUUGGCGGGGUAACGGCCCACCAAGGCGAAGAUCGGUAGCCGGCCUGAGAGGGCACACGGCCACACUGGCACUGAAACACGGGCCAGACUCCUACGGGAGGCAGCAGUGGGGAAUCUUGCACAAUGGACGAAAGUCUGAUGCAGCGACGCCGCGUGAGCGAUGAAGCCCUUCGGGGUGUAAAGCUCUUUCGACGGGAACGAUAAUGACGGUACCCGGAGAAGAAGCUGCGGCUAACUACGUGCCAGCAGCCGCGGUAAUACGUAGGCAGCGAGCGUUGUUCGGAAUUACUGGGCGUAAAGAGUGUGUAGGCGGUGUUCCCAGUCUGUUGUGAAAUCUCCCGGCUUAACUGGGAGGGUGCAGCGGAAACUAGAA